UUCCGGUUGAUCCUGCCGGAGGCUACCGCUAUUGGAGUUCGAUUAAGCCAUGCGAGUUGCGAGAAAUUAGAUUCUCGGCGUACCGCUCAGUAACACGUGGGUAACCUGCCCUAUGCUGGAUAAUAACCUCGGGAAACUGAGAAUAAUGAUCCAUAGUUCACUACGCCUGGAACGGUGAGUGGAUGAAAGCUCCGGCGGCAUAGGAUGGGCUGCGGCGUAUCAGGUUGUAGGGGGUGUAACGUACCCUCUAGCCCUCUACGCGUACGGGUGUUGGGAGACAUAGCCCGGAGAUGGAUUCUGAGACACGAAUCCAGACCCUACGGGGUGCAGCAGGCGCGAAAACUUGGCAAUGCGAGAAAUCGUGACCAGGGAACUCCAAGUGCAUGGGGUAAGACCCAUGCUUUUCUUGACUCUAAAUAGGUCUUGGAAUAAGGGGUGGGUAAGGACGGUGCCAGCCGCCGCGGUAAUACCGGCGCCUCAAGUGGUAGUCGCUUUUAUUGGGCCUAAAACGUCCGUAGCCGGUCUGAUACAUUCGUGGGUAAAUCAACCAGCUUAACUGGUUGAAUUCUGCGAGGACGGUCAGACUUGGGACCGGGAGAGGUGUGGGGUACGCUCAGGGUAGGGGUAAAAUCCUGUCAUCCUGAGCGGACCACCUGUUGCGAAGGCGCCACACUAGAACGGAUCCGACGGUCAGGGACGAAGCCUAGGGGCACGAACCGGAUUAGAUACCCGGGUAGUCCUAGGUGUAAACGCUGUGGACUUGAUGUUGGGGGUGCUCCGAGCACUCUCAGUGUCGAAGCGAAGGUGAUAAGUCCACUGCCUGGGAAGUACGGUCGCAAGGCUGAAACUUAAAGGAAUUGGCGGGGGAGCACCACAAGGGGUGAAGCCUGCGGUUCAAUUGGAGUCAACGCCGGA
rnacentral:rRNA from 1 species